rnacentral:rRNA from 1 species
GUCGAGAAUCUUGCGCAAUGGGCGAAAGCCUGACGCAGCCAUGCCGCGUGAAUGAUGAAGGUCUUAGGAUUGUAAAAUUCUUUCACCGGGGACGAUAAUGACGGUACCCGGAGAAGAAGCCCCGGCUAACUUCGUGCCAGCAGCCGCGGUAAUACGAAGGGGGCUAGCGUUGCUCGGAAUUACUGGGCGUGAAGGGAGCGUAGGCGGAUAGUUUAGUCAGAGGUGAAAGCCCAGGGAUCAACCUUGGAAUUGCCUUUGAUACUGGCUAUCUUGAGUAUGGAAGAGGUAUGUGGAACUCCGAGUGUAGAGGUGAAAUUCGUAGAUAUUCGGAAGAACACCAGUGGCGAAGGCGACAUACUGGUCCAUUACUGACGCUGAGGCUCGAAAGCGUGGGGAGCAAACAGGAUUAGAAACCCUGGUAGUCC